UUGAAGCUGUAUUUAUAGUUGAAAAACUUUGUAUUACCGUUGCCUAAUUGCCAAUUAAGAAUUGCUGAUUUUACUCAGUGACAAUCGAUUGUCCAAUUACCACAAUCGAUUGUUUGCCAGUUAUUCCAAAAAUCAAUCCCAGAUUUUACGCAUAACAAUCGAUUAUCUAAGAUCAAUAAUCGAUUACUGGCAACGUUCAAAUAAUCAUUU
rnacentral:lncRNA from 1 species